ensembl:lncRNA
GAAUUAAGAUAAGCACAAAUGGGCAUAUCACUCUGGGAAAGUGUGUCUUCACAUACAUCUCAUCAGCAAUAGCUUCAGUACAUUGAACUCACACUUGAAGCAAUUUAAAUUAAAUUUAAAUUAACUUUCAAGUACAGCUACGCUUGGAAAACAUUUUAGUUUUACUUGCAAGGAUAUAAUAGAAAAUACUUACAGCAGCAGCUAUCUCAUCAUCCUUUCCCUCAAUAAGGUAAGAAUUUAACGCUAUACUGAAACAACCAUCAGAGGGUGCAUUUACACCAUCAGUUUGGUUUUAUACUUAUUUCACUCCCAGGUCCUGGCACUCUGGCUGUCCAUUCUGUGCCCAUGCUAGAUCUUGGAACACUCCCUGCCAAGCUCUGCUGGCUCCCUCUGGAGGUUCAGUCCCAGCUGUAAGGGUGUGGAUCUCUCAAGGGGCAGCACUUCCAGCUCACAAAACCUGAACGGAGGUACUCAAAGCAACCCUUUCUUUAAAGAGUGGGACUUACCUUUAAAAUAUAUAGAUAGGUCCAGAUGUGAGGGAUAUUUCCAUCUUCGCUGACUCUGAGAUAAGAACAGACUUGCAAGGUGGAAGCAAAUUUUGACCUGCUUCUACAUGGCCCAUGAAAGAGAGAAUCGGAGGAGAAGCUUUUAAAAUACAAAUGUGGUGAUAAUUUAGAUUGCCAUGGUACCAGUUCAGGGAAGCACUUUUAUUCAUGUCGGCGUUGCAUGUCUCAUUUAAGUUAGUGGGCUAAUGGGUAUAUUGAAAAGUUCGUUUAAAUCAGGAUAUAAAAUACAAAAAAGACUUAUAACACUUAUGCACUAUUUAUACAUUAAUUAUAUUUGUACACUACAUUCUAGGACUGUUAAAUACAAGGUUGUUAAUAGAAGAAUAAAAUGCUGGGAACUUUGGGACAGUGAUUUUCCACUUUUUUACCAGUAACACACAGUAAUUAGUCAUCUUGAACUUUGUUAGAGUACUGAAGAAAAUUAUAGAUACACGUGUUUUGCAUGUAUGUACAUCUAUACCCACAUCCAAACAUAUAUGUAUAUAAAAAAUAGAGUGACUGACAGGUUGAAGAUUUAAGGUACUUGCUGAUUACUGAAUGAACAGCUUGAUAACCUGAGUUAUCAACCUACUUGCUCUCAGCAGCAGCUUGACAGCAUCCAUGCAGUUACAAGGCCUAGUCAAAGCUAGAGCCAAAUUCUCAAGCUAAAGGAAAGCAAAACUCUGUUCCCAGAGAAAUUAUCCUGCCUUGCAUGAUGCUUACACUGCUUUCAGUGCAAACAGCCACCAGUGAAUUCUUAAAUUCUUUACAGAUCAUUCCUGGAAAGUGAAAGGCUACAAAGGCAUCAUAUUCAUGUAUGUCUGUGCAACGAUCUACAUACCUCCCAGUCAGAUGUUUCCACUCACAAGCAAAAAAAGCCUUCUGUAUUAAAAAUGAACAAAUUGAAGAAACUUUCAAUCAGGAGAAAGCAAAGAACUCCUCCAAAAGUUAAAAUGGGAGAUUUAUGAUUCUGAAGCUGUGGUAGUUCUCAUGAUUAUUGAUAUAGUUGUGACUAUUUCUAUUUCUAUGGGUAUUAAAGAAAAAGUCAAACUUGACUUGCUUUGUAGACCUCAUUAAGAUAGCUUGUCCAGCUACAAAAGCUGCAGAAAUAAGGUACAAAGUCUUAUAUCAUAUAAAAGGAGAUAGAAAUUGAACUUGGAUAAGCUCACUGGCACAUAAGUGGAUGUUCCUUACAUCAUUUCACAACCCGGUUUCCCACGAUUCAAAGAGUCUUAGUCUGGUCAGAGGGGAAGCAACAUAGUAAGUUCCAUCUUCAAAGUUUGGCUGCCUUUCAGUUAUGGCUGCCAAAACACAGUGAAAGUAAUAUAAUUAUGCUGGAAAGGAAAACACAUUUUUCCAUUCCCCUUCUAAUUAAGAAAUAAAUAAAUAAACUGAGAGU